GACGAACGCUGGCGGCGUGCUUAACACAUGCAAGUCGAGCGGAGCGGCGAACGGGUGAGUAACGCGGGAGUAACUGCCCCCCUCUCUGGGACAACAGUUGGAAACGGCUGCUAAUCCCGGAUAGUGGGGGAUGAUUCGCGUCUUAUCGGCUUGUUGGUGGGGUAGUGGCCUACCAAGGCGACGAUGGGUAGCCGGCCUGAGAGGGCGACCGGCCACCUUGGGCUGAGAUACGGCCCAAACUCCUACGGGAGGCAGCAGUGGGGAGUAUUGCACAAUGGGGGAAACCGUGAUGCAGCAGCGCCGCGUGCGGAAUGACGGCCUUCGGGUUGUAAACCGCUUUCAGCCAUGACGCGGUAGUGGCAGAAGAAGCACCGGCUAACUACGUGCCAGCAGCCGCGGUAAUAC
rnacentral:rRNA from 1 species